rnacentral:rRNA from 1 species
AUUCCAGCUCCAGUAUCUUCUAUUCCUGUUUUUUUUUUUCCCCCUCUCUUCUUCUUCUUUCUUGGCGGGCCGACCGGUCUGCCGAUGGGUAUGCACUGGCCGGCGCGUCCUUCCACCCGGAGACCGCGCCUACUCUUAACUGAGCGGGCGCGGGAGACGGGUCUUUUACUUUGAAAAAAUCAGAGUGUUUCAAGCAGGCAGUCGCUCUUGCAUGGAUUAGCAUGGGAUAAUGAAAUAGGACUCUGGUGCUAUUUUGUUGGUUUCGAACACCGGAGUAAUGAUUAACAGGGACAGUCAGGGGCACUCGUAUUCCGCCGAGAGAGGUGAAAUUCUCAGACCAGCGGAAGACGAACCACUGCGAAAGCAUUUGCCAGGGAUGUUUUCAUUG